AUUGAACGCUGGCGGCAGGCCUAACACAUGCAAGUCGAGCGAGAGGCGGACGGGGGAGUAAUGUAUGUGGAUCUGUCCGAUAGAGGGGGAUAACACCUGGAGACGGUGGCUCAUAUCGCAUACUAUCGGGUGUACCCCUAUGGGAUUAGCGAGUAGGUGGGGUAAAGGCGCACCUAGGCGACGAUCUCUAGCUGGUCUGAGAGGAUGAGCAGCCACACUGGAACUGAGACACGGCCCAGACUCCUACGGGAGGCAGCAGUGGGGAAUAUUGCACAAUGGGCGCAAGCCUGAUGCAGCCAUGCCGCGUGUAUGAAGAAGGCCUUAGGGUUGUAAAGUACUUUCAGUGGGGAGGCGUUACCCGCAGAAGAAGCACCGGCUAACUCCGUGCCAGCCGCCGCGGUAAUUC
rnacentral:rRNA from 1 species